GUGCCAGCCGCCGCGGUAAGACAGAGGUGCCGAGCGUUAGGCGGAAUCACUGGGCUUAAAGCGUGUGUAGGCGGAUUCCUAAGUACCUUGUGAAAUCCCAUGGCUCAACCAUGGAACUGCUUGGUAUACUGGGUGUCUUGAGCCAGCUAGGGGCUACCGGAACAAAUGGUGGAGCGGUGAAAUGCGUAGAUAUCAUUUGGAACGCCAAUGGUGAAAACAGGUAGCUGGGGCUGUGCUGACGCUGAGACACGAAAGCCAGGGGAGCGAACGGGAUUAGAUACCCUGGUAGUCC
rnacentral:rRNA from 1 species